rnacentral:rRNA from 1 species
AGGGAGCGCAGGCGGUUCAUUUAGUUAGGCGUGAAAGCCCCGGGCUCAACCUGGGAACUGCGCUUAAUACUGAUGAGCUAGAAAACAGAAGAGGAUAGUGGAAUUCCCAGUGUAGAGGUGAAAUUCGUAGAUAUUGGGAAGAACACCGGUGGCGAAAGCGGCUAUCUGGUCUGAUUUUGACGCUGAGGCUCGAAAGCGUGGGGAGCAAACAGGAUUAUAUACCCUGGUAGUCCACGCCGUAAACGAUGAUAACUAGAUGUCGGGGGGUCGCCUCUCGGUGUCGCAGCUAACGCAUUAAGUUAUCCGCCUGGGAAGUACGGUCGCAAGAUUAAAACUCAAAGGAAUUGACGGGGGCCCGCACAAGCGGUGGAGCAUGUGGUUUAAUU